AAAAGAAAACACACGUGCCCGGUACUUAGCAAGCACUGCAGUGAUGCUGUUCAUUGAACUUGAGAGGAUUACAGACGGAAUAGACUGAGAAGAGGGAGGUGAACUGGAACUCUGCACUCUGUGGGUUGGGGCAGGCAGGCUCCCUUCCGACUCUGGUUCCAGAAGGAAGCCUGGCAGACGGGCACCCUGGGAGGGAAAAGGGAGACCCAGAGGAAACAUUCACCAGGUCGCCCACGCCACCGCCACCGCCGCCACCGUGGCCUAGGAAUGCUGAGCCCUGCCCAGUGAUUUCACCACUACCUUGCCUGGGCAGGUCGCCUGAAAAACUACACAUCCCAGCUUCCCUUGCAGCUGUGUGUGCGCCAAGUUCUGGCCGAUGGGAUGUCAGUGGUAGAUGCACCUCCCAACUCCUCCUUCCGGAGUCCCCUGUGGAGGAGCCAGCCCUGGACCACCUCUACCUGAGAGAAGACCCAUCCUCUGUCUUAUUUCAGACACUUUUAUUGGAAGGUUUUCUGACACUGUCCGUGGGGCUUGAUCCUCCCUAACACAGUGUCUCGCUCUCAGAUUGCAACAGGGAAAGAAGGCCCGCCAGACGUUUGAGGAAAGCUUCCGCCUAGAAGUGGACAGACCAGAGCAAAUGGAGAGAAGGAACCGGGAUGGGAGAGCCAAUGCAGAGAGCAGGAGAAAGGCUUUGAAGAAUCUAUAAUUAAAGUGAGAAAAAUGCA